UACAGAGGGUGCAAGCGUUGUUCGGAAUUAUUGGGCGUAAAGGGCGCGUAGGCGGUGCGGUAAGUCUGCAGUGAAAUCUCUGGGCUCAACUCAGAGUCUGCUGUGGAAACUGCCGUGCUUGAGUGUGGGAGAGGUGAGUGGAAUUCCUGGUGUAGCGGUGAAAUGCGCAGAUAUCAGGAGGAACACCGAUGGCGAAGGCAGGUCUCUGGGCCACAACUGACGCUGAGGCGCGAAAGCUAGGGGAGCAAACAGG
rnacentral:rRNA from 1 species